GUGCCAGCAGCCGCGGUAAUACGUAGGGGGCAAGCGUUGUCCGGAAUUAUUGGGCGUAAAGCGCGCGCAGGCGGCUAUUUAAGUCUGGUGUUUAAACCUUGGGCUCAACCUGAGGUCGCACUGGAAACUGGGUGGCUUGAGUACAGAAGAGGAAAGUGGAAUUCCACGUGUAGCGGUGAAAUGCGUAGAGAUGUGGAGGAACACCAGUGGCGAAGGCGACUUUCUGGGCUGUAACUGACGCUGAGGCGCGAAAGCGUGGGGAGCAAACAGGAUUAGAUACCCUGGUAGUCC
rnacentral:rRNA from 1 species